AUGUGUCACUUUUAUAGAAGAUACUAUAACCUUUUUGAAAAAUUUUAUUCAAUUAUUUAAUGAAAUCUUGACCAUGUUUUACUUCACAUCCCCCUAGACGGGUAGUGUCCGGGGAGGGAUGGCGAAAGUACGUCGAUGGAAGCACAAUGAAUUAAGGGAAUUCCCAGACGCGAGUAGUCGAGCGAAAAGAACGGCAAGGAUUGAAGGAUGGAAUUGGGAGGAAGCGAGCACUCGCACCAAAAGAAAGUCCUCGAUGGCGCCAUCGAAUUAGUGUUCCCCAGCAGUUUUCGGGAAACUUAAGCGCAGCCUUUCCCGACGAUCGAAAAGUUGAAAAAUUUACGAACCCCCACGCAACUUUGCGCCGCGUAAUCCUCUUCGACAUUUGGACUGUGUGCCAUUUCCGCUCGGCGGAACAAUUUUUACACUCGCGCCAGCCAGCAGUUUCUACCUUUUCCGAUAAACGA